AGUUCAGAUUGCAGGCUGCAACUCGCCUGCAUGAAGUUGGAAUUGCUAGUAAUCGCGAAUCAGAAUGUCGCGGUGAAUACGUUCCCGGGCCUUGUACACACCGCCCGUCACACCAUGAGAGUCGAUAACACCCGAAGCCUGUGAGCUAACCGUAAGGAGGCAGCAGUCGAAGGUGGGGUUGAUGAUUGGGGUGAAGUCGUAACAAGGUAUC
rnacentral:rRNA from 1 species